rnacentral:lncRNA from 1 species
AUGUUAAGUUCAGAGAAUAGCAAGUUGUCUAAUUUGUCUGCAACAGAGGGUGUAUGAAGGGGAAAUAAUGUGGAAUCAAGAAAAUCAGCACUGAAGUUAAAAGAAAAUUGUUGGAGUCUUCACUUCACUUUAACUGAGAAACUGGAUAGGGGAAAAAUAAUAGACUGGAAUUUUCAUUAGGUCAACAUUUUAUGAAUAUUGUAUUUACAUACAAUUUGAGAAAAUGGAUCUGUUGGAUCUCUCUAUGUAUCUACAAUACAUUUGCUUUCUUUCAAGAUAAUUCUAUUGGAUAAUACUUCAUGGGAUUAGUCCAUAAUGAUUGCCUCUUUGUAUUUUCAAUUACCCUCAGGCAGAGUGAAACUUCAAGGAAUAAUAGUUUUGUAUUUUUUCUUGUGACAUAAACAUUGAACUUUCAUUUAGAUUUUUCUUGUAAUAUAGUUGUUUACCCCAAUUAAGUUUCUUUUGUUCGCUUAAAUUGUAAUUUAAAGAUUUAACCCAA